rfam:Felis catus isolate Cinnamon breed Abyssinian chromosome B2, whole genome shotgun sequence.
GCCUGGGUGGCUCAAUUGGUUGAGCAUCUGACUUCAGCUCAGGUCAUGAUUUCAUGGUUCAUGAGUUCGAGCCCCACAUCGGGCU